GAGGUGGGGGCGGGAGUCCCAACGGUCGUAGCCGUUUAAAAACCCGAACAAGGCGGCGACUAGCCACGGACAACAUAGACCGUAGUUCACGGCAGAUUGCUGUCACAUGACAAUCAUAAUGUUCAUACCUAUAAACUGAAAGUGAUAAAAAUAGCUUUCCUUGUUUCCCACCAUUCACAUUCAAUCGAUUUUUUUUUCGCAUUAAUGCCUGACAGGCGGUUUGUCUAAGUAAAUCAUUUUGGGUGUAUGCUGUUUCGUCUCACGGAAGGUAAAUCAUAGAAUGUGGCCUGACAAGAUUCCUGAAAAUUAACCCUAUAUUUUGAGCACAUAUUUCCUCACUCUGCUGUUUCUCACGGCCUUAAGUGGUUUUGAAUGUUUUUUUUUCACGUCUGAGAAUUCCAGUCAUCCUUAUGCUAAACGGAAAUCGUUGGAGAAACUCAACAGGUUUGGCAACAUCUAUGGAGAGAAAGCAGAAUUAAAAGUUUCGGGUCCAGUGACCCUUCUUCAGAACAUCCUGAUCCUAACUUCUCUUCUUGGUCGUCUGGCCUGAGGCUGCUUCGAAAACUUCACAUCUUCCAAACUUGCAGUCACCACCACCUAGAAGAACAGUGGCAGCAUCUGCAUGCAAAUACCAUCACCUGUAAGUUCCCUCAAUGCCCCCCAAAUCCAGACCUGGAACCACAUCACCAUUCUUUCAAUGUCACUUGGUGACAGCAUUUCUUGUUUAUUUUUAAUGUGCACCUUUGACAUUCAUGUACAGCAUGACUGCAUUCAUCUGUAGCUGAGUGACUAUGGUAAUCCCUUCCUAACAACACUUUGCAUAUAUUUGUAUCAUAUGUAUUGCAAUAGUUCCAAAAGACAGUCAUUACCACCAUUUAUAUGGUAAUUAGGUAUGGUCAAAAAUGCUGGGCUUGCCUGUUAAUGAAUAAAGAAUUCUAACAAUGCAUUGGUCAAAUGGGGGAUUGGUGGUAAGUAGUAAAUGGAAUUCAAUCUGGAGAAAUGUGCAGUAGGGCAUUAGGGGAAGACGAACAUGGCAAAAGAAUAUGUGGAGAAUUGUACGGAAAUAGUGAAAUAUUGGAGUGCAUAUCCCCAAAUAUUUGAUAUUGGGGCAGGUUGACUCAGUUGCAUUUAGAAAGGCCUUUGAUAAGGUUCCACAUGGUAGGCUGCUCUGGAAUUGAGGGGGAGUUAGCAAAUUGGAUACAAAAUUGGUUUGAUGGUCGGGAGCAGAGGGUAAUAGUGGAAGAAUGCUUGUCAGACUGGAGGCCUGUGACUAGUAGAGUGCCUCAGGUUAGUGCUGAGUCCAUUAUUGUUUGUUUUCUAUAUCAAUGAUUUGGAUGAGAAUGUGCAAGACAUGAUUAAUUAAUUUUGCAGAUGAUACUAAAUAGGUGGUAUUGUGGACAGUGAGCAAGGUUAUCAGAAAUUGCAGCAGGACGUUGAUCAGCUGGAGAAGUGGGCUGAGAAAUUGCAAAUGGAGUUGAAUAUAGAUAUAGGUGAGUUCUUGCAUUUUGGAAAGUCAAAUCGAGGUAGGAGUUUCAUGGUGAAUAGUAGUGUCUAAGAGUGUAAUGGAUCAGAAGGAUAUUGCAGGUCAGGUUCACUGUCCUCUGAAAAGUGGAUUGACAAGUGGACAGGGCAGUGAAGAAGGCCUUUGGCACACUCGUCUUCAUGGAAUUGGGAAGUUAUGUUGCAGUUAUACAGGACAUUAGUGAGGCCACGCUUGGAGUAUUGUGUUCAGUUUUGGUUACCUUGUUAUAGGAAGGAUGUUAUUAAACUGGGAAGAUUGCCAAAGAAAUUUACAAGGGCGUUGCCUAGACUCAAUAGUCUUAAUUAUACAGAGAGGUUAGACAAGCUAGGACUUUUUUCUUUAGAGCUUAGGAGACUGACGGUGUUCUUUGUAGAGGUGUAUAAGAUGAUGAGAGGCAUGGACAGGGUGAAUGCACUCAGUCUUUUUCCUAGGGUUGGGGAAUCGAGGACUAGAGGGCAUUAGUUAAAGGGUAGGAGAAAGUGAGGACUGCAGCUGCUAGAGAUCAGAACUGAAAAUGUGUUGCUGGAAAAGCACAGCAGGUCAGGCAGCAUCCAAGGAGCAGGAGAAUCGACGUUUCGGGCAUGAGUCCUUCUUCAGGAAUAUUCCAUUCCAUUCUUGAAGAAGGGCUCAUGCCCAAAACGUCGAUUCUCCUGCUAAUCAGUUAAAGGGUAGACAGCAAAGAAUAAAAGGGAACCUGAGGGGCAAUUUUAUUUUUAGAGGGUGGUACGCAUGUGGAAUGAGCUGCCAGUGGAAGUGGUUGAGGUGGGUACAUUAACAACAUUUAAAAGACAUUUGGACAAAUGCAUGGAUAGGAAAGGAUUAGAAGAAUACAGACCAGGUGCAAGGAAAUGGGAUUAGUUUGGAUGGACAUUUGUUAGCAUGGACCAGUUUGGGUCAAAGGGCCUGUCUCUGUGCUGUAGGACUGUCACUCUGAGACAUGCAGAAUACAUAACCAUAAUUUAGAAAUAUAUGUACAAUAAAUAUGCUAGAACUGUAUAAAACGUUAUUUUGGCCGUAUCUCAGUGUUCUAUAGUUCUAGUCACAUUACAAUAAGGUUGUAAUUAUGUGAGAUGUAUAGAGUUACUCUGAGAAUGCUGUUAGGACUAGAAAUUUUAAAUAAGAAAUGAAAUUUUGGAUUUGCUCAAUCCCUGCAAUUUCAUGUCACCAAAUGUAAUCACACCUGAUUUGUUUCCUUCCAUUCAUAAUCUUCUGCAUUCAAAUAAAUUUUUUUUAUUUUCCUACUCUCCAGAAAAGUACAAGUAUGGGUCUGUGCAAAAUAAAUAACUAAAUGUCGAGAAGCAAGUAAAGAAAACAGUCACAAUCUGCAGCACAGCUUUUAGGCCUGUAUCACACUCUUGUUCCUUUUACUUUUGAUUGAUUGCAGUGUUGCAUUGUAAUACUUUAUUUAUCUGCAUUUAUUUCUAGUGUUCUUUGAUUCAUCUACUGAAGGGAAAAAUACCAUUUCAAUUCUGAAGAAUUAAUUUCCUUAUGAAUUGCUAACUCCUGUAUUCCCAGAAUCUUUUCCGCGGUUUAAAUUGCCCACGGUUUACUGUGGCCCAAAUGUAAAAAAGGGAACAUUCUGGAACCAGGUACUGGGGGCUACCAAGAAGAUAAAUUUCCCAUUGAAAUGAAUGGGUUCACUCCUAUCUGUGGUUUUGGGCUUCUGCUGUAGUCGUGGAACAUGUCUCCUGAGGGUACUGGAGGACUACUGCAUAUUACUUUUUUAAAAAAUCAUUUUCCAAUUGCUCUGCUAAGUGAAAAACAUUCAUCUAAUUUGUUGAUUACUUCAAAUAACUUUGUUUAAAAUACCCACUAUUACUUCAUGCUAUUAUUUCUGUAAAGUAAUGGUAUUGAUCAGAAUAAAAUCUAGUAAACAGCUAACAA